CUUUUUCCUUCCAUUUUCUUAAAAGUUUGUUGCUUCGCGUCUAAAGCCGUGUGUUCAGAUGGGGACGUUGUCGACUUAGUGGGUACUUUGUAGAGACGCUUGUGGUGGGGGACAAGCUAGGCGUACUUCCGCACACUAUCCGGGUCUCCCUCGAGGGGGAGCUCUUCGCAGUCGACGCCACAAAUAACAAUAUAGUUCGGAUCACUCCGCCUCUCUCCCAGUGUAAUUCCCCCGUUCCCUUCACUUCCUAGUUUUUCUAUUGCGAUCUACCAUAAGAGAUUGGAGGUUGUAUCAGAUAGCAGAGCAAGAUUUGGUUGCCGGGUCAUUUAAGGGAUUCUCUGGACAUGUAGAGAUGGUAAACCUGCAGAUGCUCGUUUCUAUCGUCCAAAAGGUGCCGCUAUGGAUGACAAAGGGAAUGUGUAUGUUGCUGAUAUCUCCAAUAUGGCUAUUCGAAAGAUAACUGAAUCAGGUGUGACUACUAUUGCUGGAGGAAAAUCAAAUAUAGCAGGUUAUAGAGAUGGCCCGAGUGAGGAUGCUAAGUUUUCUAAUGACUUUGAUGUGAUAUAUGUUGGAAGAACUUGUUCUCUUCUAGUCGUGGACAGGGGUAAUGCUGCUCUUCGCCAAAUUUCUCUUCAGCAAGAGGACUGCCAAUACCAGUAUACUUCAGUAUCAACAUCAGGUUACCUGAAGCUUCCCAGUGAUGUUCUUUGUAAUUCUUUUUGUACACAACAAACAUGGAACUAUAACAUAUUACAACCUUACAAUAUGGCACCAUCGGAGGUGUAUCAGGUAUAUGCCAUCAUUUUCUUUUUGUCCCACUAUGAAGCAAGUGCUAUCCUCAGAUAGGCCCAUAAUCAGUGUCAAUGCAAAGAUAGUCGAUAGGUGUAUGCCUACAGCUUUGGUUUUGAAUUUCAAUAAAUCCAGUCCUCUUCCUUCUGAAGUUGAUCUGAUUAGGAUUUUCUGUCGCUAUGGGCCCAUAGUGGAAGUAGCAACAGAAGUUCAACAGGAGAGCAACAGCGUCAAACUAAUUUUUAAGCGGCUUACUGAUGCCGAGAUGGCUUUUAGUAGUGCCAGAAAAUAUGGAUGGUUUGGGCCAUCACUUCUCAGUUAUCAUCUCAGAUAUCUAUCGUCAACACCAGAUACUUUUGCUGACAUCCAACAAUCAGACAAUUAUGCUGCACUACCAGAACAUAGCAACUUGGAAACUCCAGGGAAUGAUUCUGAACAGUUGCAUUCUUGCUUAUGAGAUUUGGAAGAUGGCAUCAGAGUUUACAAAUCUCAAGUACUCCAGAGUUGAAAUUGAUGAAGUGCGGUUCGAGUGGGCUG